UACGGGGGGAGCAAGCGUUGUUCGGAUUUACUGGGCGUAAAGGGCGGGUAGGCGGCCACCGCAAGUCAGUUGUGAAAUCUCUGGGCUUAACCCCAGAAAGGUCAACUGAUACUGCGGGGCUAGAGUGCAGAAGGGGCAACUGGAAUUCUCGGUGUAGCGGUGAAAUGCGUAGAUAUUCGCAAGAACACCAGUGGCGAAGGCGGCCAACUGGUCCGGUUCUGACGCUGAGGCGCGAAAGCGUGGGGAGCGAACAGG
rnacentral:rRNA from 1 species